AAAAAUCUGACCAGGUAACUUACC
rnacentral:piRNA from 1 species